GAGUUAAAACUCGAAAUCAAUCAAACUCGGUCAAACUCGUAAAAUCGAUCUGAUUUUACCGAUUUUAACUGAGUUUGACCGAGUUUGAUCGAUUUCGAGUUUUAACCU
rnacentral:pre_miRNA from 1 species